AUUGAACGCUGGCGGCAGGCCUAACACAUGCAAGUCGAGCGGAUGAAGGGAGCUUGCUCCUGGAUUCAGCGGCGGACGGGUGAGUAAUGCCUAGGAAUCUGCCUGUUAGUGGGGGAUAACGUCCUGAAACGGGCGCUAAUACCGCAUACGUCCUGAGGGAGAAAGUGGGGGAUCUUCGGACCUCACGCUAUCAGGUGAGCCUAGGUCGGAUUAGCUAGUUGGUGGGGUAAAGGCCUACCAAGGCGACGAUCCGUAACUGGUCUGAGAGGAUGAUCAGUCACACUGGAACUGAGACACGGUCCAGACUCCUACGGGAGGCAGCAGUGGGGAAUAUUGGACAAUGGGCGAAAGCCUGAUCCAGCCAUGCCGCGUGUGUGAAGAAGGUCUUCGGAUUGUAAAGCACUUUAAGUUGGGAGGAAGGGCAGUAAGUUAAUACCUUGCUGUUUUGACGUUACCAACAGAAUAAGCACCGGCUAACUUCGUG
rnacentral:rRNA from 1 species